rnacentral:rRNA from 1 species
AUUGAACGCUGGCGGCAUGCCUUACACAUGCAAGUCGAACGGUAACAGGUCUUCGGAUGCUGACGAGUGGCGAACGGGUGAGUAAUACGUCGGAACGUGCCUAGUAGUGGGGGAUAACUACUCGAAAGAGUGGCUAAUACCGCAUGAGAUCUACGGAUGAAAGCAGGGGAUCGCAAGACCUUGUGCUACUAGAGCGGCCGAUGGCAGAUUAGGUAGUUGGUGGGAUAAAAGCUUACCAAGCCGACGAUCUGUAGCUGGUCUGAGAGGACGAUCAGCCACACUUGGACGGAGGCACGGCCCAGACUCCUACGGGAGGCAGCAGUGGGGAAUGUUGGACAAUGGGCGCAAGCCUGAUCCAGCAAUGCCGCGUGCAGGAUGAAGGCCUUCGGGUUGUAAACUGCUUUUGUACGGAACGAAAAGCCCUGGGUUAAUACCCUGGGGUCAUGACGGUACCGUAAGAAUAAGCACCGGCUAACUACGUGCCAGCAGCCGCCGUAAUAC